UACGUAGGGUGCAAGCGUUGUCCGGAAUUAUUGGGCGUAAAGGGCUCGUAGGCGGUCCAUCACGUCGGGAGUGAAAAGCUGGGGCUUAACCCCAGUCCUGCUUCCGAUACGGGUGGACUAGAGGUAGGCAGGGGAGAACGGAAUUCCUGGUGUAGCGGUGAAAUGCGCAGAUAUCAGGAGGAACACCGGUGGCGAAGGCGGUUCUCUGGGCCUGUUCUGACGCUGAGGAGCGAAAGCGUGGGGAGCGAACAGG
rnacentral:rRNA from 1 species